rnacentral:rRNA from 1 species
GAUGAACGCUGGCGGCGUGCCUAAUACAUGCAAGUCGAGCGAACAGAUGAGGAGCUUGCUCCUCUGACGUUAGCGGCGGACGGGUGAGUAACACGUGGAUAACCUACCUAUAAGACUGGGAUAACUUCGGGAAACCGGAGCUAAUACCGUAUAAUAUAUUGAACCGCAUGGUUCAAUAGUGAAAGACGGUUUUGCUGUCACUUAUAGAUGGAUCCGCGCCGCAUUAGCUGGUUGGUAAGGUAACGGCUUACCAAGGCAACGAUGCGUAGCCGACCUGAGAGGGGGAUCGGCCACACUGGAACGGAGACACGGUCCAGACGCCUAAGGGAGGCAGCAGUAGGGAAUCUUCCGCAAUGGGCGAAAGCCUGACGGAGCAACGCGGCGUGAGUGAUGAAGGUCUUCGGAUCGUAAAACUCUGUUAUUAGGGAAGAACAAAUGUGUAAGUAACUAUGCACGUAUUGACGGUACCUAAUCAGAAAGCCACGGCUAACUACGUG